CCUUGGAAACCAGUUCGUGGGGCUCUCGUACAUAAGAAUGGAAAUGAAGAUGCUGGGAAUCGGGAAUUUCUCUCCGUCAAUUUCACAAAGGCUUAAAAAUAGUUGCAAUUGAAUAUCUAAUAUUAGAGUUGAUAUUUAGAGCUGCAGUUGGUUUUAUUAUAACCACCCGUGUUGUUUCAACAUGGGAACGUCGAAAGCAGGAAUGGUGUACGGAAGUUUUUAAUUGAUUUGGCAUUGGAGUUAACGAAUGCAGAGAAGUUUUAACCAGGCCAGCAUCAUUUUUCUCACACCCUUCGACCCGCAGGUGUAGGAAUCUUUCAACGAUCUUGGAAAAAAAUGGAAGGACGAAAGUAGUAAAGUCAUCUAGAAGGAUGGAAGUAGUAAAGGCAUCUAGAAGGAUGGAAGUAGUCAAGUCAUCUAGAAGGAUGGAAGUAGUCAAGUCAUCUAGAAGGAUGGAAGUAGUCAAGUCAUCUAGGACCCUACUCUUGGAGUACAACAUAUUUGUCAGUGAAGUUGGAAAAUGAUAGCGGUGACAAAAAUGUCUUCAGAGUCGAGCCCGAGAAGAAACCUCUGUAAAUGAAAAUUGCCAGACUCUGAAUGUGGUUUGUCUAGGGGCCUUUAACAACAAAGAAAACUUGCUUCUAGAAGCGAGUGAAAAAUUUCCAAAAAGUAGCAGUGAAAAAGUCCUGUCAACUCUGAGAAACUUCCAUUCAAUUUACUUGACAAGAUAACCCAAGUUCUUAUUUGCAUGCUAAAUAACAAUAAAAUCUUUCUCCGUUUA